rnacentral:misc_RNA from 1 species
GGUGCUUUCAGGAGUUGCAAGGGGUUGUGGAUGGCAGCAUGUGGGGGCUUUUAUCAACCUGGCGGCCUUCUAUCUUUGUGGGAUUCCAGUGGCUGCAAUAUUGGGUUUCUGGGUGAAGUUAGGAGGUAUGGGCCUUUGGAUUGGAAUACUAGUUGGUGCCUUUACACAAACAAUUCUUCUUGCUGCUGUUACGAGCUGCUUAGAUUGGGAAAGACAGGCAAGCAUGGCAAGGGAAAGGUUGUUUGGAGGAAGAUCUUUGGUUGACAAUGGAAUAAUGUGAAUUAAAAGAUAUGGACUAAUACGGUAACAAAUACAAGGAAUGCAUGCUGAAUAAUUACCCAAAUACAAUUGAUGGACUAAUAUUGUAGUUGGGAUUGUAUAAUAUAUUGUAGUAUAAUAUAAUUUAGAA